rnacentral:sRNA from 1 species
GGUAGCAAUGCCACUUUCAGGAUACUAGAGGUUGGUUGUGGAGCUGGAAAUAGUGUGUUUCCAAUUUUGAACACUUUGCAAGGAAGUCCACAGUAUGUUCUGCAAAGCCAGUUUAGAUGAAAAGCAAAAUCUGGUUGAUCGCCGCUUACAAGUUAAUAGGAAAAAACAAGUGAAAAUGCACCGAGUGUGGAUUCAAGGCAAAUUCCAGAAACCAUUGCACCAGACUCAGAAUAGCUCCAAUAUGGUAUCUACACUCCUUGCACAAGACUGAACUUUGUAACAUGUUAACGUACAAAGCCAGAGGACUGUGCUAUUCAAGGACUACUGUAAGUCUAUUGUUUCGCAAAAGAUAAUGAGAAAAAAUAAGAGAAUUUGUAUUUCCUGCUGUUUUGUCAUAGGUGAGCUCCUUUGUGCGUUUUAAGCACAUGUAAGUGGUUCGGCACA